UAGGGAAUCUUCCGCAAUGGAUGCAAGUCUGACGCAGCAACGCCGCGCGAGUGAAGAAGGAUUUCGGUUCGUAAAACUCUGUUGUUUGAGAAGAACAUCGCAUAGAGUAACUGUUAUGCGUGUGACGGUAUCUAACCAGAAAGCCACCGCUUACUACGUGCCAGCAGCCGCGGUAAUACGUAGGUGGCAAGCGUUGUCCGGAUUUAUUGGGCGUAAAGCGAGCGCAGGCGGUCAAUUAAGUCUGGUGUGAAAGCCCCCGGCUCAACCGGGGGGGGUCAUUGGAAACUGGGUGGCUUGAGUGGAGAAGAGGAGGGUGGAAUUCCAUGUGGAGGGGAGAAAUGCGGAGAUAUAUGGAGGAACACCAGUGGAGGAGGCGACUCUCUGGUCUGUAACUGACGCUGAGGCUCGAAAGCGUGGGUAGCAAACAGG
rnacentral:rRNA from 1 species